GUGCUCACUUCAGCAGCAUAUAUAUUAAAAAUUGGAACAAUACUGAGAAGAUUAACAUGACCCCUGUGGAAGGAUGACUGGCAAAUUCGUGAAGCAUGCCAUUAUUUA
rnacentral:snRNA from 1 species